rnacentral:rRNA from 1 species
GAUCCUGGCUCAGGACGAACGCUGGCGGCGUGCUUAACACAUGCAAGUCGAACGCUGAAGCCCAGCUUGCUGGGUGGAUGAGUGGCGAACGGGUGAGUAACACGUGAGUAACCUGCCCCCUUCUUUGGGAUAACGCCCGGAAACGGGUGCUAAUACUGGAUAUUCACUGGCCUUCGCAUGGGGGUUGGGUUGGGAAAGGGUUUUUUUACUUGGUGGGGGGAGUGGGCUCGCGGCCUAUCAGCUUGUUGGUGGGGUGAUGGCCU